CACGUAGGGUGCGAGCGUUGUCCGGAAUUAUUGGGCGUAAAGAGCUUGUAGGCGGUCUGUCGCGUCUGCUGUGAAAAUCCGGGGCUCAACCCCGGACUUGCAGUGGGUACGGGCAGACUAGAGUGUGGUAGGGGAGACUGGAAUUCCUGGUGUAGCGGUGAAAUGCGCAGAUAUCAAGAGGAACACCGAUGGCGAAGGCAGGUCUCUGGGCCACUACUGACGCUGAGAAGCGAAAGCAUGGGGAGCGAACAGG
rnacentral:rRNA from 1 species